GAAGACUUGCAGCUUAUUGCCGAAUUGAAAGACCUGAUUGCUGAGAGGGAUCAGCUAAUAAAGAAACUGAUUGAUGACAAGAAGUUCUAUCAACUGGAACUAGUCAAUAGGGAGACUAAUUUCAACAAAGUAUUUAAUGCAAGUCCUAAUGUUGGUGUUAUUAAUCCUCUGGUGAAGCAAAAGAAGAAGAAUGAUAAAUCAGCAAACAGGUUUGUGAGUGUCCCCAAUCUAAGUGCUCUGGAAUCUAGUGGAGUGGGCAAUGGACAUCCUAACCGUCUGGACCCUAUUCCUAAUUCACCCAUCCACGAUAUUGAGUUCAACAGCAGCAGACCACUUCCACAGCCAAUACCACCCAAAGAGCCCAAGACGUUUUUGAGCCCUCUUCAGACUGAAGCUUCUCCAGUGGCUUCACCAGAUCCCCAGCGCCAGGAAUGGUUUGCCCGUUACUUCACAUUCUGAGAGAUUAUUUAUGUGUGUGGCACAGCGUGGUGUGGAAUGUUCAUAAGAGCAUGACCUUAAACUAAACCCUUACGUGAACAAGCUUUCCUGUAAUAUGUCAAACACUGUGAAUGAGAAAGUAUUUGUCUCUGAUUUGAAAAUGCACUGUAUUUUACGUGAUAUUUGUUGGAAUCACUUGACAUGGUAAACAAAUAUGC